rnacentral:lncRNA from 1 species
UAUUGUCUGAAAUUUUUUCAAGAAUUUGAAUCAAUAGCAUCACUAGCCAUCUCCUUGCUCUCUUCCUGACUCUUGAAGAAGUGAAGAACAUGAAACUGAAAAGAAUAUAAAAUGUGCAACCGUAAACCUCUUUUGUUGUUACCAUAGUAAAAUCACCAAGAAUGUAAUAUUGUAGACUCAUGCUACAGGUUAAUAGAAAACGAAUUGCAGAAGAGUAGUGCACUUCGAAAUUUAGUCUGUUAUGCAGGUUUAUUAGCAUCAAUUUGUACCCAAACUCCAUAUGCAUACAAGUGGCAUUCCAAUAUUUUAGUUCCAAGCUGAAUUUUUGAGAAAAGCAUCUGUAUCAUGUUUGUUCAUUACAAACUGAACCAGGUAUCUCCAUAGUCCUCAGUUGAUUUAAAAGGCCAUAAUGCAAUGUGCCAUCACUGUGAUAGCACUAAAACUAUCUGUUCUUUGUCAAAUGUAUUUACCGUUUACAUUCUCAACAGAAUUAAUUUAAAACACUUUAGAACAUUGCAUAUAUCAAAUUACUGAUUUCUCACUGUUAACAGAAGAUAUGAUAGAACGGAUGGAGCAUAGAAUCCUCGUAAAAAAUAACAGAAUGGCCUGUUUGGCUGUGAAAAUUAAGCCUUUUUAAGAAAAAUGUAUAUUUUUAUAAAUUUUUUGGAUAUGAAUGCUAAGUAAGUGUUUAAUAUUCAUUUUGUGGGAAAAAAGAUAAAGACUUAUUUCAGAAAUGAGUUUUUAUUUCUGAAAAAUAAGUUUAGCCAAACGAUCAUAUUGAAUAGAUGAAGGUCAUAUACCUAUUUGACACUUGAACAACGAUUGGUUUAUGAACUCAAUGAGUUGAAGUAUGACAUUUGAAUAUAAAAGCUGUCGUUUCGAUUGGAUUCAUAAGUCUUGUUGGUCCUUGAAUGUAUUGGAGAGAGCGGUUGAAAGCAAUACUGAUAAAUUCGAAUCUCAAAGCAACAACUAAAUCAAGAUUAAAAGUUUAUCAACAAUCUGAUUCAUAAGUGUUGUUGGCCCUUAAAUGUAUUAAGAGAGCUGUUGAAAGCAAUACUCAUAAAUUCGAAUCUUAAAUCAACAACUAAUUCAAGAUUAAAAGUUUAUCAACAACCAAGAAUGUGAGUUUGCAAGAAUAUCGAAGGAUUACUUCAAAAAAUAAAUAUUUCACUUAUUUCGUUGUGUUGUUACAAUCUCAAGAAAGUGUUUUCUUGAGCUUCUGUUCUCUCAAGAGUUACAAAGUGUUUUCUUUCAAUCGAUACAAUAGAAUGAAGGAUAUUUUCCAAUAUGACUAGCAAGAACUAAAUAUCAUUGUCAUCACGGGUUCUGGGGGACUACAAAGUAGACUCUACUUUGCAGCUACCAACAAAUUGCAGCCCAUGUGACUUUCUUAAACUACUAAUUAUACUGAGAUUACAUUGUAUAAAAAGAAACCUGGAAACUAACUAUUUUAAUCUUAUCUAAUCCAAGUAGAUGGUGACUUGACAUCUCCUUGAAUCGGCGAUCUUUGUCUUAUUAACUCUUGAGCUUUUGUCGUAGUCUUUGCAAGUGUGCUACCAAACUAGGUCGAACAUAUUUAUUAUAAUUUAAAUGUUAAAAUAUUUUUUUUACAUGCUAUAAUUUAAGAAGACCUAUAAACCUAUAUAUAAACCAAUCAAUCAACCUUUUAAUAUUGGGGUUUUUUCAUAUAUACCCAUGUCUAAAAGAAUUUUAGCAAAUUUACUGUCAUUUUUUAAACAAAUUGCAAAAAUACUAUCUUUAAAAAUAAAUUGCGAUGUUUGCAUCUGCAACCAAAUCUACAACUGUUAGCAACCACAAAUGCAACUUUGAAAAAAUCUAUUGAAAAUUACAUUUAAUUGCAUAAUAAGUUGCAAGUGGUUGCAAAUGGCAAAAAUGAGCACCCUUGCGGGGCCAAUACUAAUAUCACAAAAGUAACCAUGAAAUCAACUAAAAAUAACCCUGAAAUCAACUAAAAGCAACCAAUUAAAUGCAGGUACAAAGAGUUACCACAUACACAUAACAUAACCUUCAAUAGCUUAUCUUUUCAAUAUCCAUGCCCCAAUCCCCAUCUCCUUCCUCCCUUCAUCGCUCCAACUUGACAUCUCCGUCUCAGCCCAUCGACCAUCACCGUAAAGAACACGACAUACACAGACACAUCUUCAACAUCCUCUGUUUAUAAACUCCCGGCCACCUCCGUUGUUCAACACAACUGAUGUAUUCAUCGCGAUCGAGAGAAUUGGUGUUGGUACUAUGGCGAUGAGAAAGAGAGUGCGAGGAGAGAGGUUAGAGACUAGAGAGGGUAGUGAGAGGAGGGUGGGAGAGAGACGACCGGAGAGAUUUGGAAAUGAAAGAUGAAGAUGGUGGAAUCUGUGAACAAACUCCGUACUUGUACAAAUAUUUUAAUUAAAGUUAUAAAGAAA